AAUCUCAAUCCCAUCUGGUUUAUGACCAGGUGUUGGACUUGGACAUGGGUGUCUGCCGGUCAAACGGCUCACCUCAAAUGACUUAGUGGGAUCGCUUGCAUCCGUGACAGACGUAAUAAGUUUCGUCUUGUCCCUUGCUCUGCGUACGCCUGCUCAGAACCAACCUGUCUUGCCUUCAUUGGCCUGGCAUACUUUUUUGA
rnacentral:misc_RNA from 1 species